UAGGGAAUCUUCUGCAAUGGGCGAAAGCCUGACGGAGCAACGCCGCGUGAGUGAUGAAGGUCUUCGGAUCGUAAAACUCUGUUAUUAGGGGAGAACAAAUGUGUAAGUAACUAUGCACGUCUUGACGGUACCUAAUCAGAAAGCCACGGCUAACUACGUGCCAGCAGCCGCGGUAAUACGUAGGUGGCAAGCGUUAUCCGGAAUCAUUGGGCGUAAAGGGUACGUAGGCGGAUAAGCAAGUUAGAAGUGAAAUCCUAUAGCUCAACUAUAGUAAGCUUUUAAAACUGCUCAUCUUGAGGUAUGGAAGGGAAAGUGGAAUUCCUAGUGUAGCGGUGAAAUGCGCAGAUAUUAGGAGGAAUACCGGUGGCGAAGGCGACUUUCUGGCCAUAAACUGACGCUGAGGUACGAAAGCGUGGGUAGCAAACAGG
rnacentral:rRNA from 1 species